rnacentral:rRNA from 1 species
GGUUAAGCGACUAAGCGUACACGGUGGAUGCCCAGGCAGUCAGAGGCGAUGAAGGACGUGCUAAUCUGCGAUAAGCGUCGGUAAGGUGAUAUGAACCGUUAUAACCGGCGAUUUCCGAAUGGGGAAACCCAGUGUGAUUCGUCACACUAUCAUUAACUGAAUCCAUAGGUUAAUGAGGCGAACCGGGGGAACUGAAACAUCUAAGUACCCCGAGGAAAAGAAAUCAACCGAGAUUCCCCCAGUAGCGGCGAGCGAACGGGGAGCAGCCCAGAGCCUGAAUCAGUGUGUGUGUUAGUGGAAGCGUCUGGAAAGGCGCGCGAUACAGGGUGACAGCCCCGUACACAAAAAUGCACAUACUGUGAGCUCGAUGAGUAGGG